CAUCAUACAGAUUUGAAGAAAGUGAUUUUUUUAAGAAAUUGUAACUUUAUGCGCUGUAGUUUAAUACUUAAGUUAUUGAUGAUCAAAUCAAAAUCUUGUUAAGCCAACCCCGAGUUGUGCACGUUGUAUUUUUUUGCAGUUUAAUACACACUGGCGUAAUUAUGUAAGGAUGUGGUUGUCAUAUCACCUAUAAAAAAAUUAAUGUUAACCGACUCAACAAACGACGACUUUGAUGAACACUGAAAUGUUUUAAUGAAACGGACGGAUCAAAAACUAAAAAUUUGAUUACUACGAAAAUAAAUUAACGAAAUCAGUCAAACAGCAUGAUUGUAAAAACACCAUUUGAUUUUAAUGGAAGCUGAAGGAACUGAAAAAUAUUUCAAAUACAUUUACAGAACUCUUCCGGAUAGAUUAUUAAUACAAUUACAUUCAGGCAACACUAACUCGACCAAAACGUAUUCAAAGAAAAAAAUACUCUCCAAUUUUCCAUAUGAUACCUUCAAGGGUUGCUAUAUUGUGGUAAGAUCGCUACUCGCUCUGAUAAUAUUUUCAAAACUUUUUCCCGUUCCGCUCUGUCGCCACCCCAAAAAAAACUAAACUACGACCCAAUUAACGUCACUAGCACGACAUUUUUGUUUUCCACUAUAAUAAUGAAAAUGUCUUCUUUUUAUAAUUGGACAUAUAUAAAGUUCAUGCAAUUAAAGCGACAUGGUAACCACGUUGUUCCAUUUUAUGCCUCGUCGCAAUAACCUAUUAAAGUUUUAUUAUUUACUUGGUAAAAAAAAAUGGAAAAAAAUCUUUAUAUUUACUGUCUGUUUUUGGUACAUCUUAACAAUACAUAUCUAAAAACAUUGCUAUUCAUAUAAAU